GUUUACUUCCGGUACCAUAUUACAUCAUGUCUCAUACAUGUUUUUAUACAAUACCAUACGAAAACAUAUGGAAAGCAGUCGGACAAAACAUGCAAAAACAAAACUUCGAUGCAAAACAACCUUGUCCCUAACCCAUCAUCGAUUAUGCCGACUGACUUCCACCAACUCCGCAAUUAUGAAUCUGAGAAUUUAGUAUAGAACACUAUGAGUAUAAAGAAUACUCAGUAAGAUACCAUGCUUGAAUUUUAACAUGUUAAUACAACACAAAAGAAUGCAAUCAAACACAUACUUGUACAUUCCGGCUUGCCGGUGCCCUUCGGACUUGUCCUAAGGCAUAGAUAUCUAACUUUGUGGACUUGUCCACCACAUUCAUAUUAUGGUUUUUCAUGCAUAGUUUAAGCAUAAAUAUUACCAUGAAAUCAUACCACUUAAGCAUAGAAAGUAUCUUACAAUAAAACUUGAUGAAAUCUUGGUUGAAAAUGAAUUGAGAAAUGCUAGGCUGGUCCUCUUCUUUCCUCACAUUUUCUACCCUCUUAUAAACAAGUG
rnacentral:lncRNA from 1 species